GGCAUAAGCCAGCUUGACUGCGAGAGUGACGGCUCGAGCAGGUGCGAAAGCAGGUCUUAGUGAUCCGGUGGUUCUGAAUGGAAGGGCCAUCGCUCAACGGAUAAAAGGUACUCCGGGGAUAACAGGCUGAUACCGCCCAAGAGUUCAUAUCGACGGCGGUGUUUGGCACCUCGAUGUCGGCUCAUCACAUCCUGGGGCUGAAGUAGGUCCCAAGGGUAUGGCUGUUCGCCAUUUAAAGUGGUACGCGAGCUGGGUUUAGAACGUCGUGAGACAGUUCGGUCCCUAUCUGCCGUGGGCGCUGGAGAAUUGAGGGGGGCUGCUCCUAGUACGAGAGGACCGGAGUGGACGCAUCACUGGUGUUCGGGUUGUCAUGCCAAUGGCACUGCCCGGUAGCUAAAUGCGGAAGAGAUAAGUGCUGAAAGCAUCUAAGCACGAAACUUGCCCCGAGAUGAGUUCUCCCUGAGACUUAGAGUCUCCUGAAGGAACGUUGAAGACGACGACGUUGAUAGGCCGGGUGUGUAAGCGCAGCGAUGCGUUGAGCUAACCGGUACUAAUGAACCGUGAGGCUUAACCUUACAACGCCGAAG
rnacentral:rRNA from 1 species